AGCAUCCUUAAAUUUACAGCUGAACUCAUCGUUCAUAGCCACCCAUAUGAUAUAACGUACCAUGGUUCAAUCGUUAAGCCACUUCUAAUAAGUAUCUCAGACUGCAUCAUAAGUGUUCAGAGCGGGCUCUUCAAGUGUCAGAUCCAUAAGAACAUACAAGAUUUGCUUGUGCUCCAGGACUAUCUUUAGCUUUUGAUACCAAAUAUCAAAAUUGAAUCUCGUUAAUUUAUUAC
rnacentral:lncRNA from 1 species